rnacentral:rRNA from 1 species
GACGAACGCUGGCGGCGUGCUUAACACAUGCAAGUCGAACGGAAAGGCCCUGCUUUUGUGGGAUGCGCGAGUGGCGAACGGGUGAGUAACACGCGAGUAACCUGCCCUUGACUGUGGGAUAACUUCAGGAAACUGGGGCUAAUACCGGAUAGGAGCUCCUGAUGCAUGGGGGGGGUUGGUAAGAUUCGGCGGUUGGGGAUGGACUCGCGGCUCAUCGGCGUGUUGGUGGGGUAGUGGGGUACCACGGCUCUGACGGGUAGCCGGCCUGAGAGGGUGACCGGCCCCAUUGGGACUGAGAUGCGGCCCAGACUCCUACGGGGGGCAGCGGUGGGGAAUAUUGCGCGAUGGGCGGCAGCCUGAUGCAGCAACGCCGCGUGCGAGAUGACGGCCGUCGGGGUGUAACCCGCUUGCGCCUGUGACGAAGAGUGAGUGACGGUAAUGGGUAAGGAAGCACCGGCUAACUACGUG